UGAUGUGGAACCGGCCGCACACCUGCUUCCACUUCCCCAUCUCACAGGGCCUGUUCCCCGCCGUCGCCUCACACACGCCUUCCCUCCCGUCCUGAGAGGCUGGCCGGCCCGAAGCCUCCCGAAGCCGGUGCUCUCGUUGGGUCGAGGUCGCCUUCGUUCUACGCGGCUUUGGCAUGUCCUGGUGUGCGGAGAGGCGAGAACGAGAGGGAGGGAGGAGGAGGAAGAGGUGGAAGAGAUGAAAGCGACUCGUGAAGAGAAGAAAAAGAGGCUAUAAACAAAGAAUCAAUAAACUGUGAGGAUAAAGUUGCAGCAGAAGAGGCCUGAGGAUGAUGGUGAUGAAAGUGGUGAUGAAGACGAUGAUAAUGGUGUUGGUGGUGAAGACGCCGAGGACAUUAUUGAUGCAUAACUGCCCAAUUCAUGUACAGUGCCUGAGAAGCUGAUGGUGACCCUGAGUAGCUGACAAUGAUGACGGUAAUGGUGAUGACAAUGACGAUGGGAAUGGCGAUGAUAAUGACGAUGGGAAUG
rnacentral:lncRNA from 1 species